rnacentral:rRNA from 1 species
CAGUAGCCGCGGGAAUACGUAGGUGGCAAGCGUUGUCCGGAAUUAUUGGGCGUAAAGGGCUCGCAGGCGGUUUCUUAAGUCUGAUGUGAAAGCCCACGGCUCAACCGGGGAGGGUCAUUGGAAACUGGGAAACUUGAGUGCAGAAGAGGAGAGUGGAAUUCCACGUGUAGCGGUGAAAUGCGUAGAGAUGUGGAGGAACACCAGUGGCGAAGGCGACUCUCUGGUCUGUAACUGACGCUGAGGAGCGAAAGCGUGGGGAGCGAACAGGAUUAGAUACCCCCGUAGUCCCUGUCUCUUAUAC